UACGGGGGGGGGCAAGCGUUGUUCGGAAUUACUGGGCGUAAAGGGCGCGUAGGCGGCCUGGCAAGUGGAAGGUGAAAUCCCUCGGCUUAACCGAGGAACUGCCUCCCAAACUGCUUGGCUUGAGACCGGGAGAGGUGAGUGGAAUUCCCAGUGUAGCGGUGAAAUGCGUAGAUAUUGGGAGGAACACCAGUGGCGAAGGCGGCUCACUGGACCGGUACUGACGCUGAUGCGCGAAAGCGUGGGGAGCAAACGGG
rnacentral:rRNA from 1 species